CCCCAGUGGUGUUGUGGUUAAUUUGUAGUUCAUUUGUGGUAAGCACUUUGUGUGUAUUGAGUGUGAUGUAUUCGUUUAGCAAGUGUAAUCCAAUGCAGCUCCGUGAACACUGGACGGACAUGGUUGGAUCUUGCAAAGAAUAUUGUACAUGCUGCAGCUUCCUAAUGCUUUUUGCAGACGUCCCGUAGACUAGUGAGUUGCAAUAAUCUAACGUAUACGCCACGAUGUUGGCUAUGUCAUGACUCAAUAGUGGCUGAUUGUGUCAUAGAGCCCUGAUUAAAAAAAAAUUGCAGGACCUGACUAUAUAAAAAAGGGAGAAGCAUAAAUCCUCCACUAUUGGUGAUGACUGGCAGAUGAACCUUCUGUUCUCCCCACUGUGCCACCUUGAUGUAUUUUUCCCCCUGGUGGUCCGCUCAUUGUGAACAUCGCUCCACUACCCUCAAUUGUUGUUGGAGGGUCAAUGCUUACAACUGUCCAGCAGCCUCAAUGUACGUGUAGCCUGGCGUUGCCCAGUGGCAUCCUUCACCGAGCCCCCUCCACAUACAUGAUAUACAUAUAUCGAUAUAUGUUCCUUUUAUGGGCUUUCAUGUAAGAGUAUGUGAGUCUAUUGGUUUCUAUAAGUGUAUAGACCAUGUGAGUGUAUGAGUCUGGGUCUUUAUAUGUGUAUGGACCACGUCAGUGCAUGUGAGUCUAUUUGUCUAUGUAUUUGUAAAUGUAUGGCUGAUGUAAGUGUAUGCAAGUUUGUGGGUCUCUAUGUAAGUGUGUGGACAUUAAGGGCCUUCAUGAUGGUGGGCAAUCUCAGGUAAAGCUAUGUGGCCUGAAGUCAGAGCCAUUCCCUGUUUACCUUGGGGUGCGAACGGGAUGUCCUCUGCCUCCCACAUUAUUUAACAUAUUUUUCGACCACGUAGUCUGUGGAUAUUGGUAUGGACCAUGUGAGUGUAUGACAGUAUAUGGGUCUCUCUUUACGUGUGUAGUGUUAUAACGCGGGCUGCUGACGGGGAAGCGGCAGAGGCAGCAGGGGGCAGUACACACAUCAGCAGAGGGAGAUCUAAAGGGAAGCCCAGGAAGAAAUCGAUCUGGAAGCCUGAGAACCCGCUAGUAGGUUCGAGAAAGAGGGCGUGGCAAGGGCGGGGCGAGGCCACGCCAGGGGAAUAAAAGGGGGCCCGGGACGGGAGCUCGCGGCUGUUGCUGGAAGUGGAUCCCCUCGCCGUGUCACCGUUCAUCACCUUCGUCGGUUCCGUCUCCGACCACCUUAGACGCCGCAAGCUAGACAGCCUGCAGACUGUUCCAGCUAGGUAGUACCUUCAAGAACAUGGAUGUGUGACUAGUGCGUAGGCACGCAGGGCACAUGUGGUUUCCUGACGUGUGGAAUAAGGAAGGUCCCUUAAGAACCCUGUCUCCGACUGAGUCACUACACGUGCAUCGGCCAUGUAAGUACGUGAGUCUGUGGGUCUCUAUGCAAGUGCAUGUUUUUACAUGCAAGACUAUGGACAAUGGUGUUUAAUGGGAGAUAUGGCUUGGAAGAUGAAGAAUAAUCAGAAUAGAGGGUGGAGCUAGUGAUCAAAGAGGAGCUUUCGCCAGUGAUGUUAAACUAUUAAACUCUUUUCUUUUUACCAGGUGACUGAAUGGGAAAACCUCUCGGUGGUAUGGUGGGAGCGGGGGGGUGUUCUUACUCCAGGCAGCGGCUAAUGAAGUCAUGGAACUCCGAGUCCUGGCUCCCGAGUGCCAAGUAGAGUGGGUGACUGCCUGGGACCCUGCUUUGUCCGGACAUCAAAGGCAUCCCCGAACCAUCUGCAGGAACGAUGCAGACCAGUUAAAACAUCACAACAAACCACAGCACCCUUGUACACCCACAGCGUAGAAACAAAAUCUUUUAGUGCUCUGACAUAGAUCAGUGGGAGUGCUUUGACCGCAUGUUGCAGAAGUUCAUGGUUCAAAUUCUGCAAGCCGCCCUGGUUAUUACUUCAGUAUUAACCAUAUGAUGCUUUGCGCUGUUUGAUUUAAAAUGGGACAUUACAGACCUUGUGAAGUAAUAAAAUUACCGUGCUGGCGUUAUGCCCGCUACUGUGAAAUGACUGCAGUUGGUGUCUGUGAAACACAGCAGGCACCUUCCUUUGUGAUAGCUUUGCAUUCUAAGAAUGAUAGUGCAAAUACCAAGUGCAAUCAAUAUUUAUUAACUAUGAUAAAUCCUUGAGGUAAACAAAGAAGAGCUAUUUUAACUGUGAUUGAAUCUCUUUCAAGCAAAACAUUAUUUUUUACCACGUAAAGCCCACUGAACUAUUGCCUCUUCUUCAGAGGCGACCAGGCAAAGGGGAGAAGAUAUGUUCCCGCAAUGUACAGCAGCCAGGGUGGGGAUCCACGCGACGACCUUCUACAUUGAAGCCACUCGGGUGUUGGUCUUGUGGUCACGGCAUUUGAAGAUCUGGCUGUAAGGUCCGACCACCUUCUUCAGCACCUCAUACCGGAAAUUGAGGUGCUCAUGCUCGACCUGCGGAGCAAUCACAUCAACUAAGUAUACUGAUCCAGUCACUGCUCAUUCAGUCACUGAGUAUGGAUGCAAUAUUUUGUGUGGCAUGUGUAAGAGUGAUUGUGUGAAUGUGUCAGGUAUGUUGGCCGGAUGUUCUGCAGAUGAUCAUGGUGUUUGCCAGUGUGCAGACUUUGUAUGUUCUCCACGUGUUACGUGCCCUGAGGAGAGUCGUACCGAGACAUAAUGGUUGUAGACAUUAUCGUAGCCAUGGUUCUGGGUGCCAAAGCCUUUGUUAUGGACGCCGAAAUACCAGACGUUAUUCACGGUGAGGACCUCGCUUCUCUCGGUGGGGGUCAGGAAAUCCCCAAAGAGCUUCAAGAUUUCUGCAAACAU